rnacentral:rRNA from 1 species
GAAGAGUUUGAUCAUGGCUCAGAUUGAACGCUGGCGGCAGGCCUAACACAUGCAAGUCGAACGGUAACAGGAAGCAGCUUGCUGCUUUGCUGACGAGUGGCGGACGGGUGAGUAAUGUCUGGGAAACUGCCUGAUGGAGGGGGAUAACUACUGGAAACGGUGGCUAAUACCGCAUAACGUCGCAAGACCAAAGAGGGGGACCUUCGGGCCUCUUGCCAUCAGAUGUGCCCAGAUGGGAUUAGCUUGUUGGUGAGGUAACGGCUCACCAAGGCGACGAUCCCUAGCUGGUCUGAGAGGAUGACCAGCCACACUGGAACUGAGACACGGUCCAGACUCCUACGGGAGGCAGCAGUGGGGAAUAUUGCACAAUGGGCGCAAGCCUGAUGCAGCCAUGCCGCGUGUAUGAAGAAGGCCUUCGGGUUGUAAAGUACUUUCAGCGGGGAGGAAGGUGUUGUGGUUAAUAACCGCAGCAAUUGACGUUACCCGCAGAAGAAGCACCGGCUAACUCCGUGCCAGCAGCCGCGGUAAUACGG